UUCUUCUUCUCCGUGGGGGGUGGGGGGGGUGGGGGUGAUGGCUAAGGUUAGGGUUAUGUGUAAAGUGAGACAUUUAUAUCCGUCUCACUUUAAUCUGAACCGUUCAUCGCGUUUGAUCUCAACAAUCCGAUAGCGUUUAAAAAGAAAAUGAAUUUGAACCGUUCAUCGCGAUUUGAUAUGGACCGUACGAUCGUAUUUAAAUAGAGAAUGAAUCUGGACCGUUUAUCGUGUUUAAUUGCAACUGUCUGAUCGCGCCUGAGAGGGGGACGAAUCUGGACAGUCUACGCGCGCAGGAAUAAAU
rnacentral:lncRNA from 1 species